AGAGUUUGAUCAUGGCUCAGGAUGAACGCUGGCGGCGUGCUUAAUACAUGCAAGUCGAACGGAGACAUUAGCAAUAAUGUCUUAGUGGCGAACGGGUGAGUAACGCGUUGGUGACCUGCCCCGAAGAGGGGGAUAACAGUCCGAAAGGAUUGCUAAUACCCCAUGUGGUCGUUUGGAUUAGAUGCCUUAUGACUAAACGGAUUUAUUCGCUUCGGGAGGGGCCUGCGUCCCAUCAGCUAGUUGGUAGGGUAAUAGCCUACCAAGGCGAUGACGGGUAGGGGACCUGAGAGGGUGGCCCCCCACAAUGGAACUGAAACACGGUCCAUACACCUACGGGUGGCAGCAGUAGGGAAUAUUGGUAAUCUGGGAAACCGGGAACCAGCAACGCCGCGUGCGCGAUGAAGGCCUUCGGGUUGUAAAGCGCUUUUUGAAGGGAUGAGGAAGGACAGUACCUUCAGAAUAAGCCUCGGCUAACUACGUGCCAGCAGCCGCGGUAAAACGUAGGAGGCGAGCGUUAUCCGGAUUUACUGGGCGUAAAGCGUGUGUAGGCGGUUUGAUAAGUUGGAUGUGAAAGCUCCUGGCUCAACUGGGAGAGGUCGUUCAAAACUAUCAGACUCGAGAGUGGUAGAGGGAGGUGGAAUUCCGCGUGUAGUGGUGAAAUGCGUAGAUAUGCGGAGGAACACCAGUGGCGAAAGCGGCCUCCUGGCCCAUUUCUGACGCUCAGACACGAAAGCUAAGGUAGCAAACGGGAUUAGAGACCCCGGUAGUCUUAGCUGUAAACGAUGUGAACUUAGUGUCGGUGGGGUUAAAUCCAUCGGUACUGAAGCAAACGCGAUAAGUUCACCGCCUGAGGACUACGGCCGCAAGGUUAAAACUCAAAUGAAUUGACGG
rnacentral:rRNA from 1 species